rnacentral:rRNA from 1 species
GACGGAGGAUGCAAGCGUUAUCCGGAAUUACUGGGUUUAAAGGGUGCGUAGGCGGCUUAGUAAGUCAGGGGUGAAAGGUCACGGCUCAACCGUGGAAUUGGCUUUGAUACUGCUGAGCUUGAAUCAGGAUGAGGUUGGCAGAAUGUGGCAUGUAGCGGUGAAAUGCAUAGAUAUGCCAUAGAACACCGAUUGCGAAGGCAGCUGGCUAGACCUUGAUUGACGCUGAGGCACGAAAGCGUGGGGAGCGAACAGG